CUCGUCAUCCACUCAAUGGCGACCCAAAACAGCGGUAACCCACAACCCAGCCACCCCCAAACCUCGUCCCUUUUUUGAGACAGUCUUGCUAUGUUGCUGAGGCUGGCCUCAAGUUUGUGAACCUCCUGCCUCAGCCUCCUGAGUUACAGAGAAUGUAGGUGUACACCACUGCACCUGGCUUCUCUGGUUUCUUUUGAUUUAUUCACACUUAACUUUUGCCAAGUUCAUGGAGCAUCUAUUACUAUUAUUUAUCUAACAGCACUAAAUUUUAAUCUGACCACAUUCUAAACUGCAAAAUUAAAAAAAAUAGAAACAAUACAUAUGAAAAUGUAGUAUAGUGGAGUUAAUAUAAAAAUAAGGAUUUUGUAUGAUGUAUUCUAUUACAUUAGGUACAGUAAUAAAAUAUAAGUCAAAUAAAUGCAAACUGCAACCACAGGCCAAAUCUGGCCCUGGGUCUGUCUUUAUAAAUAAAGUUUUAUUGACAGCCUGACCCCCCUACCGGGAGGCUCCGCCUCCCGGCCCCUCUGACCCCAUGAGAGCUGAGAACCCGCAGGUAGUCACCGUGGGUCAUCCAGCUCCUCGGAU
rnacentral:lncRNA from 1 species